CCAGGUUUUGGACCCUGUCUUUCUAAUCCUACCUUCCUGACUUUACUGACUUCUUGGAACUUUUAUAUUGAUGUUAUCUAUGUACUUUCUCUAUCCCUGGCUUCUUAUGGCCACCCCUGCUAUUAUGUUAAUUUUCAGGAUAGCUGUUUAACCUAUAUAUAAUUACAUGUAUAUAACUUCCCUCUCCAACUCUCUGUAAGGGACUGUCUUAAAAAGAAUUUUUAACCUGAUUGGAUCUAAAUAAAAAAGAAAGGAAAGAAGUGCAUAGAAUGGGUUUGGAGCCAAGAAACACUCUUGAUGAUUUUGCCAGCUAUACAGGAGUUGCCCUAUUUCCAUGGGCUUUAGAGCAUUGGCCAGAACAUAAACACGGUAUAGUGUCUAUCCCUAGAAAGAGUGCGAUUUGUUUAAACUGUAAAAUGUUAAAAGUGAAUGUAUGAAAUACUCAGGAAUUCAUGAAGAUACUUUACAUGUAUUUUUCUGCUCAUUUGUCUCUUUGCAGGGAUGACCAAUCCUUUAUUCUUGGUCAGUGCAGCCCAGAGGACAGAACCCACUGUGGCUCUAGGGGAAGGCAUGAGAUCCAAGUCUUGCCAAUUACUAUGACACACAUUUGGACAGAACAAACAUUUCAAGGUUGGGAGUUUACCCAUGCUCAACCCCAGUCAGUGUCAGAUUUAAACAGAAACUACUGGGAGAGAGACAUCUACUCCAUUUCCAUGUGAGUUACUAACCUGAUAGCAAGUCCUCUUGGAGCUACCAGGGCACAUCCUCACUGUGUGAAGUAGGCAUGUUUGACAGAAACAGACAGAGGAAAAUAGAGUUAAGAUGGAAAGAGAUGGGAACAGUGUUAAAAUGUGUGUGAUGAAGCAACUGGAUCCAGCACAGGACUUAUUUAUAUGAGAUAGUAGAGUCCCUUUUUGUUUUAAGCUGGUUUGAUUUGGGUUUUUGUCCUCUAUAGCUGAAGGAAAUUUGGCCAAGUCAGUAAUUUGAAUAUAGUCUUUAGAUGAGAAAUUUAAGUUUUGUAAUUGACAGCCCUUCUUUUCUUGUUGGAAAUAAUGUAAGGCUUUAAAGCCAUUUUUCUUGUUUACAAAAUAUGAAGUCCCUCUGAGAAGAUAACUAUCUUGCUAACCAGGCAGUUGAUUACAUCUUCAUAAAUUUUUUAAACAUAGUAGUUUUUGGACAUAUUUGAAAACAAAUGAAUGACCUUGUCUUCUACUUGGGUCUGUGGAUCAUAAGCACCCAUUUCCUAAAUGUUACAGAGAAAAGCUUUUUAAAAAAUUUAUUUCCUGUGAUUGUAUGUAGGUAGAAUGUAGGUAGAAUGUAAACAGUGCAAACUUAAAUCCAUUUAAGAUUUCUCUAGGCUUGGAAUACUGUAUGCUUAUAUCAGUUAAAGACAAAGCUGAAGGUUAGCAGAAGAAUUUUCUACCUUCUGUGUCCUGGGAAUUUUUAUUUCACUUUUUGACCCAUCACUGAACUUGAGAUGGCUCAGUAGCCAUUCAUUAAGUCAGAUCUUGUAUUUUUCAGAUUUCUAAGACUGCCUUGCAAAUUUCUUUGUUGUUUUAUGAAUAUAUAGGCUUGUCUAGGAGUAGAUUUCCAGAAUGAAAGGGAGCUUGGAAAACAUCUCAUUAUCACAAAAACACGGUUUCUUAUGAGCUCUAUUCCAUAUGUAAAUACCCACUCAUUUGAGUUUCUUUUCAAUGUUUGGCAUUUCAGUUUGUAUACAUCUACAUAUUUAUAUAUAAAUUAUUCCACACAUUUUAGGAGAAACUAUUAUGGGGGUGGGAAACAUUAUGUUAAAUAAUUAUCAUUUUUACAAUUUGAAAGACUUUUUUCCUUUUCUGUUGGAAAAACACUACCCUUUAGAGUUUAUGUAGUAGUGACAUUGAAAGUUCUAUGGUUCAGGCCCCUGGAAUUCAAGCAGCAUAUUUUAUUCUUAAAUAAUUAAAGUUCAUUGUAAUUGGAGAUUUCUGUAGAGACUAUUCAGCAUAUUUUCAUGGUCUCUCUACCUUGUCUGCUCAAUUGAUGAGUUACUGUUUCCAAACUUCUGGGAGAGAAGUGAACUUAACAGCUUGUGAUACAAAUUAUGCACAUACAGGAUAGUGCAUUUACACACAUAGAACAGUAUUUGUGGUGGCAUUUGUGUAUGAAAAUGAUGCUUCUGACCUCUGCUUACUAUCUGAUCUCAUUACAUCACUGCUUAAAAUGAGGAAAGGACACACCAUGGUGGGAAAGAUGAGUUCCCAGCACCUAUGCAUGCUAACAUGCCUUAAGUCUUGCAUUCCCUGGUUCCAGUCCCAUCAUCAUGUCCCAGGCUCUCCUGCGGUUUCAGGCUGUGAGCUUUUACACCAGGCUGUUGCCUCAAUCUGCGGUGCUUUCUCUGCCUCCUUUCAUCCCUGGCAAGUUCAGGUCUCUGUGUAAGUGUGGUAUUGUUGAUAAGGCCUUUCUUGAGUAAUCUUCUCUUGACCCUAGAGUAUCUUUUACACACUGUGAUCAUAGAAUUACAGUAUUCAUGUUUGUUGAGAUGUAAUAUUAGUAUGGUAGACUAAGAAAUGAGGCAAACUCUGUCUUCCUUUGCUGCCUCUUAAGGCAGAGUGGCUUCAAGUAAGGAGUCAUGGUAUGUUUUCUCACAACUGGUGGAAAUAGCAUACUUUGUGCAACAAGUAUACUUCCAAACCUAGACCUCUCUUACAGAACUCAAUUUAAACAAGUAUGGUUUUAUAGUUUAGGAUUCAUGCACCCCUUCAUGAUGCAUUCACAUGUACUCCAAGGACCCUUCAUCAAAGAGUAUUCUACUUUAUUCCUUGGUAUGGAACUAUAGUACAAACAAGCCUUGUUUUAUAUGUGAGAGAAAAAGCCAAGAUGAGAUGUUUAGAGGAAGGCUCUAGAGUUGAUCUUCUGGGCUCUACCCCAAAAUAUCUGGUCCUUCCAGAGUAAGUGCAGAGCUAACACUCCUAUGAUUCCAUUUUCAGCUUUACUUAUAACCAUUUAACAUCUGCUCCUAGGAACUAUGAGCUGUCCUGGUUGAUACAGGCGAUGGCUGGCUGUGGGGUAUAGGCACUGCUUUGUGUCUUACUGUCUUGUGUGCCCCAAGGUUGCUUCACCCUGUUUGAUUCAAGCCACGUGAACAUGUGACCUUUCUUUAAUACCCAGGACACUUGAAGGCCUCAAGAAUGGAAGGUGGGUCUGAGCUACAAGGGUCACAGCCUUCUCAGUAUUAGAUCAUAACAAAGAUUGAGGGGGAAGACAUCAACUUUUUCCCUCAGUGUUUCUAGAUGGAUGAAAAUGAUCACACUAUGUCUGUAAAACUGAAAAUGACCUGAUAGAAUCAGACAUCUCUCAGGGUGAAGGGCAAAGGGUACAAGCCUCCCUGAUUAUGUCCCACUCACCCUCUUGGCUUUGCAUGAGUGGUGUGUUGAGAGAGUGGUGGAAUGGGUAGGAGGAGAAUUAGAGAAGCUGUUGCAGUUUAAGAAUUGGUCUGAAAUGUGGCCUGACUCUAGCACAGAGAUGCUAAAAACACCUCUUGAGAUCAUGGAGGCCAAAUGUCUCUAUAUUUUCAGGAGAAGAAUGUCUCUACAUUCUCCCAUGUCCUUAUUUUUGUUAUUCUUAGACCCAGGGGCCUGCCUAUGGGGGUGAGAGGUGGAUAAGUCCUUAGUACCAGUAAAAAAUAUUCUACUUGCCUGUUACAUGUCUUUUAAAGAUCUUUUCCCCCUUUCCAUAUAAACAUCUUGCAGCAUAUACUUGGUCUUUUCAUUUCUGUUACUUUAGCAUCUAGCAUAAUACUCAGGUCUCCAUUAAAUUAAUGAACACCGAGUGAAUGAAUAUGUGUUUCACUUUGAUGAAAAACAUACAUUUUGUGGUAUUUCUGGUGUACUUAUUUGUAUAAAACUUAGACUUCCAUGAGUAUGGCACUCUAAAUAUCCCUAUAUGAACGUGCCCAUUGCUAACUUUUGUUUCAAGACCCUUUUGAAGUUGUAAGCUAGCAAGAUCAAUGUAGGAUUCUAUGAAUGCCAUUAUUUUCAUCAUUCACUCAUUUUAGAAGAAAAGGAAGCUUCUUUUCCUCACCUCCCACAGCCUGAAGAAAGUUUCCUUUUUGAGAACAAAAUUACCAUUUGUUUCAAGCUUUCUCUUCAAUUAUAGCAAUUUCCACAUGUUUUGAACUAUUCUCAGCAAAAGGAAAAAUCAACAUUUGCACUUUUGAUACACAGGCUAAUCUGGUUGACACAGGUUUAAAGGCAGCAUGGCUGCAACAUGUAAUUCGGAAGAUGGUUCUUAAUUUGCUCUUGGCUAUUGCCAGUGCUCCCUGUGAACUUAUAAGCAGGCCAAACCGAACUCUUCCUUGAGUGCUAUUAAGUGGGCCACAUAAAGUGGACCUUGAAAUGUACUGUCAAACAGCUCACCCCCUUAUAAGGAUAAGACAACAUAUCUAUUUAGCUGAAGUUUCACCUGUAUAUUUUUUAUGUUGCAGAGGCUUCAGUUGGGACGGUAAAAGAGCAUCCUUUGCAGACAGCCAGCUGUGGCCUGCCAAUUCCAGCUCCUGACAGGUAGCAGGCUGGAUUCUUGGCUGCCAAGAAUCUCAAACAGUUCCGAUAUGCUCUAGGGAGGGCAACUGUUUAGCCUAAGCAAUUCAAAGAAACAUAAUUGUGCUUCACACUACACAGAAAGUCACCACAUCUGUUUCAUAUUUUUGGCUUUUAGAACUGAGCUAGAACAGAGAAAUAAACAUACAGCUUUGAAUAUAGAGUAAAAACAAGUUCAUGGUGCACAGAUGAGCAUAUUGUAUGUAACUCAGUGAAAAUUUCCUUAAUGAGGGUUUCUUUUGGUUAAGUGAGAAAUAUUUCUGGUGUUAAUCAAGGUUUUUUAAAAGAGAUUUAAUAGAAAAUAUUAUCUAUUUAAAUGUCAAGGCAGCCUGUCAUUCCCCCUUAAAUCUAUUACAGUCAAUUGUUGAGAUGCCGCAGCCAUGGUCAUGUGACCUAUUGCAAAUAUUUGGGGAGUCAUCUGCACUGCAUUAGCCUUUCUAGUGGUAGUUAUUUAAAAAAAAAUAAUUUAGAUGUAGUAGGCUAAAAACAUUCAAGGCAAUGAAUUAGAACUUCAUUAACCACUUUCAUCUUUUAUUUUGGUUCAAAUGUAAAUGCAGUCAUUUGAUAUCUAAGUGUAUAUAAUAUGUGAUGACUGUCUUUUAAAAAUGUAAUCUAGCAGAAAAUACAUCUUAAUUUGAAUGUAACGCUGACUUAAAUAUAAUUUUAAUAUUCUUCAGCAUCUGGUGUCUCAAAGAAUGAGGUCAUUUGAGGUUAAGAAACUUUUUCCUGCAGCAGUAAUAAUAAUAAUAAUAAUAAUAAUCUUCAGAAAACAGUGAAAAAGGCAAGCACUUAUCUAAAUGAUCAUAUAUCAUGGAGAAAAGGGAAGAAAGAGACUAACAUGCAUGAAGAUUUUCCUUUUAUUGGGGGCUUUACAUUAUAAUGCUUAUAUAUUUCCUCUUCUAUUAUAUACAUAAAAUUUUUGAGGUCUUUCAGAUGAAGAAUCUGACAUGAAAUAAAUAGCUCAAAUAUCAUGAGAUCUGCUGUCCACUCAUUUUCUUUCAAUUACACUUAGGUGUUUCUGUAUUUAUUUAUUUAUUUUUGAUUUUAAGGGCUGCACCCUUGGUAUAAGGAGGUUUCCAGGCUAGGCAUCAAAUUGGACCUACAGUUGCCGGCCUACACCACAGCCACCACAAUGCCAGAUCUGAGCCACAUCUGGAACCUACACCACAGCUCAUGGCAACACCUUAUCCUUAACCCACUGAGAAAGGCCAGGGAUCAAACCUGCAUCCUCAUGGAUAUCAGUCGGGUUCAUUACCACUGAGCCACAGUGGAAACUGCCAUAUUUAUUUUUUAAUGUCUGUUCCUACAAACCUACAAACUAAGUGAGGCCAAGGACUAUGUCUGUCCUUCACUGUGUACUCAGGGAUUUGCUCGUACAUAAAUAGCAACUAAUUGAUAUAUAUUGACAGUAAUAGAUGCCAGGCCUUGUUCUAAACUACUCAAAUAUAUUUAUGUAUUUGAGCCCCCCAACAAAACUUUGAAUGGAUUAAUUAUUAUUCCCACUUUAUAACUGAAAACCUUAUAACCUUAUCUGGGUACAAGCUUUCAACUACCAGAUGAACUCUUGGCAAAGUAAGAAAUACUCUGAAGUUCACCAAGAUUGACAAAAGCCUCAUAGAUGAAACUACUCAGGUGUUAGGAUAGCUUAUCAUUACCCUUUGAUAAUUUAUUCAUUUAACAGAAAAGCAUACUUAUGUGCCAUUGGGCUAAGUAUCUUUUUACCUUCUUAGUUACCUGACUCAAACUUCACAGGAACUGUGUGUGUGUGUGUGUGUGUGUGUGUGUGUAUGUGUACCUCAUUCUCUUUAAUGUAUAGAUGAGGGGAGUUCCCGUCGUGGCUCAGUGGCUUAUGAAUCCGACUAGGAAACAUGAGGUUGCUGUUCAAUCCCUGGCUUUGCUCAGUGGGUUAAGAACCUGGCGUUGCCAUGAGCUGUGAUGUAGGUUGCAGACACAGCUUGGAUCUGGUGUUGCUGUGGCCUUGGCGAAGGCCGGAGGCUACAGCUCCGAUAGGACCCCUAGCCUGGGAAUCUCCAUAUGCCACAGGUGUGGCCCUUAGAAAAGGCAAAAAG
rnacentral:lncRNA from 1 species